CUACGGGUGGCAGCAGUGGGGAAUAUUGCACAAUGGAGGAAACUCUGAUGCAGCAACGCCGCGUGGAGGAUGACACUUUUCGGAGCGUAAACUCCUUUUAUAUAGGAAGAAGAUGACGGUACUAUAUGAAUAAGCGCCGGCUAACUCCGUGCCAGCAGCCGCGGUAAUACGGAGGGCGCAAGCGUUACUCGGAAUCACUGGGCGUAAAGAGCGUGUAGGCGGAUUAAAAAGUCAGAAGUGAAAUCCUAUAGCUUAACUAUAGAACUGCUUCUGAAAUUCUUAAUCUAGAAUAUGGGAGAGGUAGAUGGAAUUUCUGGUGUAGGGGUAACAUCCGUAGAGAUCAGAAGGAAUACCGAUUGCGAAGGCGAUCUACUAGAACAUUAUUGACGCUGAGACGCGAAAGCGUGGGGAGCAAACAGGAUUAGAUACCCCCGUAGUC
rnacentral:rRNA from 1 species